UACGGAGGGUGCAAGCGUUAUCCGGAUUCACUGGGUUUAAAGGGUGCGUAGGCGGGCAGGUAAGUCCGUGGUGAAAUCUCUGAGCUUAACUCAGAAGCUGCCAUGGAUACUAUUUGUCUUGAAUAUUGUGGAGGUAAGCGGAAUAUGUCAUGUAGCGGUGAAAUGCUUAGAUAUGACAUAGAACACCAAUUGCGAAGGCAGCUUACUACACAGUUAUUGACGCUGAGGCACGAAAGCGUGGGGAUCAAACAGG
rnacentral:rRNA from 1 species